CGUACACUCCUACGGGAGGCAGCAGUGGGGAAUAUUGCACAAUGGGCGCAAGCCUGAUGCAGCCAUGCCGCGUGUAUGAAGAAGGCCUUCGGGUUGUAAAGUACUUUCAGCGGGGAGGAAGGCGAUAAGGUUAAUAACCUUGUCGAUUGACGUUACCCGCAGAAGAAGCACCGGCUAACUCCGUGCCAGCAGCCGCGGUAAUACGGAGGGUGCAAGCGUUAAUCGGAAUUACUGGGCGUAAAGCGCACGCAGGCGGUCUGUCAAGUCGGAUGUGAAAUCCCCGGGCUCAACCUGGGAACUGCAUUCGAAACUGGCAGGCUAGAGUCUUGUAGAGGGGGGUAGAAUUCCAGGUGUAGCGGUGAAAUGCGUAGAGAUCUGGAGGAAUACCGGUGGCGAAGGCGGCCCCCUGGACAAAGACUGACGCUCAGGUGCGAAAGCGUGGGGAGCAAACAGGAUUAGAAACCCCGGUAGUCCCAU
rnacentral:rRNA from 1 species